rnacentral:lncRNA from 1 species
AUGUGUCCCAAGAGGAGUCAGUAUUUGGUCACCAACCAUAGAGAGGGCAUUGAUUAUAAGUUACCAUUAGUCAAAAAAGCAGCAAAAGAAGGGCAUCACUACCAAUCAAUUAAAGAAAGUAAUAAUUAUCUCUUUCCUACUCUUUCCUUCUACCCCAAAACAGUGGGGAAACAAACUUUAAAGAGCUUGCAGAAGGAUGUAUCUCAGAGAUACACCUCACCUACUACUCUUCAAGCAAUCAGACCCCAGGGUUAUGUCUGUGUUACGGUGAGAGCAAAAGUUGAAGAGAGAGUCCUUAUAGUGCUUUUUAGCUUGGCAGUGUUUUUUCUCUAUGCACUGCAAUGGAAGCGUGAAGGUGGCUCACCAGAUGCUGGAGCUUUAAGGUAUAAUUGGCAAGUACAAAUUAUAUAGGGAGGCCAAAUUGGCUGACUAGAAGCAGCUAGAGUGAGCUGCUGUCAUGAGAGAAGAAAAGAGUAGUGAGUAAAAACUAGCUCUUCAACUGGAACAUCCACGUGGACACCUUAAGAUUCACCAAUGAAGCAAGGAGACCCAUGGAAAACAGAGAAGAGCAAAAGAGGACAACUGCCCACCCAGGAGUGGCAUGGAGCCAAAGGAGGCCCUCUACCAUGGGGAAAUGGUGAGUGACUGAGAGUAUCUGGGGACCCAUACUUUUACUACAGACCUUUGCAUCCCUGGGCUCAGGAGAUCCCCCAUGCAUCCCUUAACUGGGACCUUCAGGCUGACACAAAGAGCUAUGUGGAAUCUGGGCAGAGCUGCCACUCAGGCACAUGCAGAAUCUUAGAAGUCUUGGAUGCCUGGGCACCCUAGCACCAGCAGCUGUAGCUCCAGCAAUAGGGGAGGCCAGGCUCUCUUGCAUGCCCCCCGCACCAGGAAAGGUGUCAAAUUCAAAGGGGCUGAGCAGGGAUGUGCUGUAGGCCUUGCAUCCACUGCACCUUGCAGGACAUAGGCCACUCCAACCCCAUCUAAGUUCUCCACCGGGAGCAGCUCAGCACUUCCCUGGGAUGGAGCUCUCAGAAGGAGAGGCAUACCACCAUUUCUGCUGCUCUGCAGCCCUCACUCCUGUUGCCCUCAGACUCUGGAGGGAGUGAGGUGGUUGGGGACUGGUGCAGACUCCUGGCGCAAAGCAACAGUCUUAUGGAAAAGUAGCCACACUGUUUUCCACAUGGGUCCCAACCCUGCUACUCAUCACUGGCCAAUGCCUCUCGAACUGGGUCCCUAGAAUAGCCAAACUGUCCCCACCUGAACACUUCAGUCUUUUCUCUGAGGAAGAAAUCCCAGAGACAAACCACAGCCCCGCUGCCAUUGCUGCUGCAGUGAUACCACUCUUACUUCGUUCAGGCUGGGGAAGAAAUAAAGGGCCUAGUUGCUAUGCUGGUGCCUCCGGCAUGCUUCAGUCACCAUACAGAGAAGAGCUCAGUCUCUCUUCCCUGUGAGACCCACCCCCAGCUCUUCAGCAGGCAGGGCCCCAAGCUCUGGACCACAGAACAGCUGCCCUACCCCCAGCUGAGCAUUCCUACUGCUAGUGGCUCUGUGUUUGCUGAGGAGGGGCUCCCAGAGGCCACUGACAGCCCCUCUGCCACUGCCAUGGCAGCAAUUCUGCCCCUGGUGUCCUCAGACUGAAAAAACAAAGAGCCUGAAGGCUGUACUCACGCUUCCAACCUGCCACAGUCACCAUAUGGAAAGGAGCCCAGUAUCUCCUCCCUGUAAGCCCUCAACUCCCCACUCUUCACCAAGUGGAGCCUCCAGCUUCAACCAGCAGCACAUCUGCCCCACCUCCUGGCUGAACAUUCCCAGUAGCUGUGGCUCUGUUAUUCGCUGAGGUGGAGCUCCCAGGGAAAACUGAAAGCCCUCUGCCACUGCUACUGCAGUAGUACUGUCCUUGCUGCUCUCCGACUGGGAGCAGGAAAGGAGCAAAGGUACCACUCCUAGAUGGGCAAUUGUCCUGUUUCGCUCUUCUCUGUUCUCCUGAGUGCUUUAAUCACACCUCCAGCAAGCUGCAGUUGCCCUGAGGAAAGAGGCCAGUCUGUCUCCGGACAAAACUCCAGCCCAGCUUUGUUCCACAAAGUAGCCAUUCCACCCCAGGCCAAUUGCACUGAUUGACAGAGGCUCUGCAUUUCUCUGGAGUGGAGCCCCAAGAGACCAGUGAAAGGUCCUCUGCCAUAGCCACUGCCAAAGUCCCUUCUGUUGCUGCCUCCAAGCUAGGGAAGGAACAUAAAUCCUGAGCUCGUCCCAGGACUGCAGUAUGCAGCAGCUGAGGAGUGCCAAACCGAGAUCUCCAGCCAGCCCUCAAGUGGAAAAGGAGCCCACACUUUCAGGACACCGAGUGACACAGUAGCUGCAAUUGUGAGGAAACACAGAGGAGUUACAGCUGAGCAAGAGUCUACCUACAUGCCAUUACGCUUAAGUGCCAUCAACUGGAUCAAAGCCCAAACUUUAGCACCAAAAAUACUUUGCUAAUAUACCCCUCUGUGAAACCAAGGACAAGUACUCAGUUACAAAUGAAGACCCUGGACAAAGCCUCGACCCUCUGAAAAUAUCCAGAAAAGAAGUCAGCUGACUGUACUCAAAUUUGCCUCAGUUAAAGGAACAUCAGCCCACACAGAUGAGAAAGAAUCAAUGCGAGAACUCUGGCAACUCAAAAAGCCGGAGUGUCUUCUUACCUCCAAAUAACUGCACUAGUUCCCUAGCAAGGGUUCUUCGCCGGCUGAAAUGACAGAAACAGAAUUCAGAAUAUGAAUAGGAACGAAGAUGAUUGAGAUUCAGGGGAGAGUCAAAAUCGAAUGCAAGGAAUCUAAGGAUUACAAUAAGGUGAUACAGGAGCUUAUAGGCCAAACAGCCAUUGUAAGGAAGAACCAACUGAUCUUAAAGAGCUCAAACACACACUACAAGAAUUUCAUAAUUCAAUCACAAGUAUUAACAGCAGAAUAGACCAAGUUGAGGAAAGAAUCUCAAAGCUUGAAGACUGGUUCUCUGAACUAAGUCAGAAAAAAUCAGGAAAAAUGAAUAAAAAAGAAUGAACACAACCUCCAAGAAAUGGAGGAUUAUGUAAAGAGACAAAAUCUAUGUUUCAUUGGCAUCCCUGUUGUGUAUUAGGCUAUUCUUGCAUUGCUACAAAGAAAUAAUUGAGACCAGAUAAUUUAUAAAGAAAACAGGUUUAAUUGGCUCAUGGUUCUGCAGGCUGUACAGGAAGCACAGUGUUAACAUUACUUAGCUUCUGGCGAGGCCUCAGGGAGCUUUUACUCAUGCGGGAAGGCAAACUGGGAGUUUGCACAUGGAAAAACUGAGAGCUUCACAUAGCGAAAGCAGGAACAAGAGAAAGAGUGGGGACAGAGGAGGUGCCACACACUUUUAAAUGACC